rfam:Nippostrongylus brasiliensis genome assembly, scaffold: NBR_scaffold0002302
GUCUCAGUAGCACAGUGGUUAGUGCACUGCUCCGGAUAGCUUGUGACGCGGGUUCGAAUCCCGCCUGAGAUG